AACGAACGUUGGCGGCGUGGAUUAGGCAUGCAAGUCGAACGAGAAAGGUUUCGCAAGAGACCGAGUACAGUGGCGGACGGGUGAGUAAUGCAUAGAUAACCUGCCCUCGAGAUGGGAAAAACACCCUGAAAGGGGUGCUAAUACCCAAUGCCGCCCCGUAUCUGCGGAUGCGGGAUGAAAGGAGGCCUCUGAUGCAAGCUUCCGCUCGGGGAGGGGUUUAUGUCCUAUUAGCUAGUUGGUGAGGUGACGGCUUACCAAGGCUUCGAUGGGUAGCCGACCUGAGAGGGUGACCGGCCACAUUGGGACUGAGACACUGCCCAGACUCCUACGGGAGGCUGCAGUCGAGAAUCUUCCGCAAUGCGCGAAAGCGUGACGGAGCGACGCCGCGUGGGCGAUGAAGGCCUUCGGGUUGUAAAGCCCUGUUAGCUGUUUUGAAUGACGGGCGGUGAAUAACUGUCCCGUUUGACGUAAGCAGCAGAGGAAGCACCGGCUAACUACGU
rnacentral:rRNA from 1 species